UAUGGCUUAAUGCUAAUAAUGCUAUUUUUUUAAUUAACAAUUAUAGAUGCGCUGGGUUUGAUUAAUGAACCUUGUAUGCAAACUUUGAUGAUUCGUUGGGAAGUUAGGUUCUUGUUCUGGGACAAAUGAGUAGGCUCAUCAGAAGCUACAAAUCAACACACCCUAUUGAAUAUUGAUCAGGAUAUCUGACAACUAGGAGACAGAACAAAGUAAGUGUAUCCAUCAGGGAUACCACUAAGGGAAAGAUGAUGAGGAAACGGAGACAGAAAGAGUGACAGCAGAAGGAGAAAAAGUUGAUGGUGAAAUGAAGAAGGGUAAGCGACUCUACAGCAGAGGAUAUUAGACAGGAAUAGAGGGAAAGGAGUCAGAGAGAGAGAGACGUCGGAACCACAUGUGUCAGGGAAUGGGAGAUACAUUAGGGAAAGAGGGAAGUGUUGGUGAGGAGGAAAGACGAUGGAGAGAGACAACGAGAGGGUGAGAGGUGACAGAAAGGAGGCAGAGCCACCAGGGAGAGAGGAAAGCGAUGGUGAUGAAAAGAAGUGAGCAGAGUAAAAAAAAGAGAGAAAGGUAAUGGAGAGGAGCAGAGAAAGAGGUAGAGAGAUCAUGGGGGGGGGGGGGGGAGGUAGAGGUGAUCCAGAGAGACAGGGAUGUGGUGACGCAAACAGAGGAGGAGAGAGGCAACAUGAAGUGGGGCAAUGGAAGGGGCAACAGAGAGUGGGGCAAUGGGAGAGGUGACACAGUGGGGCAAUGGGAGAGGUGACACAGUGGAGCAAUGGGAGAGGAGACACAGUGGAGCAAUGGGAGAGGUGACACAGUGGGGCAAUGGGAGAGGUGACAGAAUGGGGCAAUGGGAGAGGUGACAGAAUGGGGCAAUGGGAGAGGUGACAGAAUGGGGCAAUGGGAUAUGUGACACAGUGGGGCAAUGGGAUAUGUGACACAGUGGGGCAAUGGGAGAGGUGACACAGUGGGGCAAUGGGAGAGGUGACAGAGUGGGACAAUGGGAGAGGUGCCCGAAGGAGUAAAAAGAGGGAAACAGAAGAUGAAAUGCAGACCCGAACUACACAUUUCUUCCAGAACCAAGUAAUCUCUUCCCCUGCUUUACUUUGUAGUUGUGCAGUAAUCAAAUAAUAAAUGAUUCAUAAAAU